GUCAUUAUAGUUUAAAUUGAAAAUAGUUAAUUUGUAAUUAUCGGAUUUUAGUGGCU
rnacentral:tRNA from 1 species